GACGAACGCUGGCGGCGUGCCUAAUACAUGCAAGUCGAACGCAGUGGGGACGGGUGAGUAACACGUGGGUAACCUCCCAUCAGAGGGGAUAACACUUGGAAACAGGUGCUAAACCGGUACUGAUGGAUGGACCCGCGGUGCAUUAGCUAGUUGGUGAGGUAACGGCUCACCAAGGCCACGAUGCAUAGCCGACCGGAGAGGGAGAGAGGCCAAACUGGGACUGAGAGACGGCCCAGACUCCUGCGUGAAGGAGCAGGAGAGAAUCAUCGGCGAUGGACGAAAGUCUGACCGAACAACGCCGCGUGAGUGAAAAGGGGAUUCGGGUCGUAAAACUCUGGUGUUAGAGAAGCGGUAUCUAACCAAGAAGCAACGGCUAACUACGUGCCAGCAGCCGCGGUAAUUC
rnacentral:rRNA from 1 species